GAGCAAGGGCGUCGGUUCCUUACCGAACGAUGGCGCGAAUUGCAUUGAAGGUUGGCGAUAACAAUCCGCGAUUCUCCGUGCCUAUCAAAUCUCUCGGUUUUGAUGAUGGCCUCGAACAAGUCGCUACAUU
rfam:Eucalyptus grandis cultivar BRASTZ1 unplaced genomic scaffold scaffold_12, whole genome shotgun sequence.